CCUACGGGAGGCAGCAGUGGGGAAUAUUGCACAAUGGGCGAAACCCUGAUGCAGCAACGCCGCGUGAAGGAAGACGGUCUUCGGAUUGUUAACCUCUGUUCUUAGUGAAGAAUAAUGACGGUAGCUAAGCAGCAAGCCUCGUCUAACUACGGACCAGCAGCCGCGGUAAUACGUAGGGGGCAAGCGUUGUCCGGAAUUACUGGGCGUAAAGGGAGCGCAGGGGGGAAGCCAAGUCAGCUGUGAAAACUACGGGCUUAACUUGUAGACUGCAGUUGAAACUGGCGUUCUUGAGUGAGGGAGAGGUAGGCGGAAGUCCUGGUGUAGCGGUGAAAUGCGUAGAUAUUCGGAGGAACACCGGUGGCGAAGGCGGCCAACUGGGCUUUAACUGACGCUGAGGCUCGAAAGUGUGGGGAGCAAACAGGAUUAGAUACCCCAGUAGUC
rnacentral:rRNA from 1 species